UGGGGAAUAUUGCACAAUGGGCGCAAGCCUGAUGCAGCCAUGCCGCGUGUAUGAAGAAGGCCUUCGGGUUGUAAAGUACUUUCAGCGAGGAAGAAGGCAGUCGUGUUAAUAGCACGAUUGAUUGACGUUACUCGCAGAAGAAGCACCGGCUAACUCCGUGCCAGCAGCCGCGGUAAUACGGAGGGUGCAAGCGUUAAUCGGAAUUACUGGGCGUAAAGCGCACGCAGGCGGUCUGUCAAGUCGGAUGUGAAAUCCCCGGGCUCAACCCGGGAACUGCAUUCGAAACUGGCAGGCUAGAGUCUUGUAGAGGGGGGUAGAAUUCCAGGUGUAGCGGUGAAAUGCGUAGAGAUCUGGAGGAAUACCGGUGGCGAAGGCGGCCCCCUGGACAAAGACUGACGCUCAGGUGCGAAAGCGUGGGGAGCAAACA
rnacentral:rRNA from 1 species